AGUGAACGCUGGCGGUAGGCCUAACACAUGCAAGUCGAACGGCAGCACAGUAAGAGCUUGCUCUUACGGGUGGCGAGUGGCGGACGGGUGAGGAGUACAUCGGAAUCUACUUUUUCGUGGGGGAUAACGUAGGGAAACUUACGCUAAUACCGCAUACGACCUAAGGGUGAAAGCAGGGGAUCUUCGGACCUUGCGCGAUUGAAUGAGCCGAUGUCGGAUUAGCUAGUUGGCGGGGUAAAGGCCCACCAAGGCGACGAUCCGUAGCUGGUCUGAGAGGAUGAUCAGCCACACUGGAACUGAGACACGGUCCAGACUCCUACGGGAGGCAGCAGUGGGGAAUAUUGGACAAUGGGCGCAAGCCUGAUCCAGCCAUACCGCGUGGGUGAAGAAGGCCUUCGGGUUGUAAAGCCCUUUUGUUGGGAAAGAAAAGCAGCAGGUUAAUACCCCGCUGUUCUGACGGUACCCAAAGAAUAAGCACCGGCUAACUUCGUG
rnacentral:rRNA from 1 species